rnacentral:rRNA from 1 species
CCUACGGGGGGCAGCAGUGGGGAAUAUUGGACAAUGGGGGGAACCCUGAUCCAGCCAUGCCGCGUGUGUGAAGAAGGCCCUCGGGUUGUAAAGCACUUUCAGUGAGGAAGAACGCCUGGUGGUUAAUACCCAUCAGGAAAGACAUCACUCACAGAAGAAGCACCGGCUAACUCCGUGCCAGCAGCCGCGGUAAUACGGAGGGUGCGAGCGUUAAUCGGAAUUACUGGGCGUAAAGCGCGCGUAGGUGGCUUGAUAAGCCGGUUGUGAAAGCCCCGGGCUCAACCUGGGAACGGCAUCCGGAACUGUCAAGCUAGAGUGCAGGAGAGGAAGGUAGAAUUCCCGGUGUAGCGGUGAAAUGCGUAGAGAUCGGGAGCAAUACCAGUGGCGAAGGCGGCCUUCUGGCUGACACUGACACUGAGGUGCGAAAGCGUGGGUAGCAAACAGGAUUAGAUACCCGAGUAGUC